rnacentral:rRNA from 1 species
GAACGAACGCCGGCGGCAUGCCUAACACAUGCAAGUCGAACGAGACCUUCGGGUCUAGUGGCGCACGGGUGCGUAACGCGUGGGAACCUGCCCUUAGGUUCGGAAUAACUCCCCGAAAGGGGUGCUAAUACCGGAUAAUGUCUUCGGACCAAAGAUUUAUCGCCUUUGGAUGGGCCCGCGUUGGAUUAGCUAGUUGGUAGGGUAAAAGCCUACCAAGGCGACGAUCCAUAGCUGGUCUGAGAGGAUGAUCAGCCACACUGGGACUGAGACACGGCCCAGACUCCUACGGGAGGCAGCAGUGGGGAAUAUUGGACAAUGGGCGAAAGCCUGAUCCAGCAAUGCCGCGUGAGUGAUGAAGGCCUUAGGGUUGUAAAGCUCUUUUACCCGGGAUGAUAAUGACAGUACCGGGAGAAUAAGCUCCGGCUAACUCCGUG